rnacentral:rRNA from 2 species
GCAGUCGACGAACUCUGGUAUUGAUUGGUGCUUGCAUCAUGAUUUACAUUUGAGUGAGUGGCGAACUGGUGAGUAACACGUGGGAAACCUGCCCAGAAGCGGGGGAUAACACCUGGAAACAGAUGCUAAUACCGCAUAACAACUUGGACCGCAUGGUCCGAGCUUGAAAGAUGGCUUCGGCUAUCACUUUUGGAUGGUCCCGCGGCGUAUUAGCUAGAUGGUGGGGUAACGGCUCACCAUGGCAAUGAUACGUAGCCGACCUGAGAGGGUAAUCGGCCACAUUGGGACUGAGACACGGCCCAAACUCCUACGGGAGGCAGCAGUAGGGAAUCUUCCACAAUGGACGAAAGUCUGAUGGAGCAACGCCGCGUGAGUGAAGAAGGGUUUCGGCUCGUAAAACUCUGUUGUUAAAGAAGAACAUAUCUGAGAGUAACUGUUCAGGUAUUGACGGUAUUUAACCAGAAAGCCACGGCUAACUACGUGCCAGCAGCCGCGGUAAUACGUAGGUGGCAAGCGUUGUCCGGAUUUAUUGGGCGUAAAGCGAGCGCAGGCGGUUUUUUAAGUCUGAUGUGAAAGCCUUCGGCUCAACCGAAGAAGUGCAUCGGAAACUGGGAAACUUGAGUGCAGAAGAGGACAGUGGAACUCCAUGUGUAGCGGUGAAAUGCGUAGAUAUAUGGAAGAACACCAGUGGCGAAGGCGGCUGUCUGGUCUGUAACUGACGCUGAGGCUCGAAAGUAUGGGUAGCAAACAGGAUUAGAUACCCUGGUAGUCCAUACCGUAAACGAUGAAUGCUAAGUGUUGGAGGGUUUCCGCCCUUCAGUGCUGCAGCUAACGCAUUAAGCAUUCCGCCUGGGGAGUACGGCCGCAAGGCUGAAACUCAAAGGAAUUGACGGGGGCCCGCACAAGCGGUGGAGCAUGUGGUUUAAUUCGAAGCUACGCGAAGAACCUUACCAGGUCUUGACAUACUAUGCAAAUCUAAGAGAUUAGACGUUCCCUUCGGGGACAUGGAUACAGGUGGUGCAUGGUUGUCGUCAGCUCGUGUCGUGAGAUGUUGGGUUAAGUCCCGCAACGAGCGCAACCCUUAUUAUCAGUUGCCAGCAUUAAGUUGGGCACUCUGGUGAGACUGCCGGUGACAAACCGGAGGAAGGUGGGGAUGACGUCAAAUCAUCAUGCCCCUUAUGACCUGGGCUACACACGUGCUACAAUGGAUGGUACAACGAGUUGCGAACUCGCGAGAGUAAGCUAAUCUCUUAAAGCCAUUCUCAGUUCGGAUUGUAGGCUGCAACUCGCCUACAUGAAGUCGGAAUCGCUAGUAAUCGCGGAUCAGCAUGCCGCGGUGAAUACGUUCCCGGGCCUUGUACACACCGCCCGUCACACCAUGAGAGUUUGUAACACCCAAAGUCGGUGGGGUAAC